rnacentral:rRNA from 1 species
AGAGUGUGCUCCUGGCUCAAGACGAACGCUGGCGGCGCGCCUAACACAUGCAAGUCGAACGAGCGAGAGAGAGCUUGCUUUCUCGAGCGAGUGGCGAACGGGUGAGUAAGGCGUGAGGAACCUGCCUCAAAGAGGGGGACAACAGUUGGAAACGACUGCUAAUACCGCAUAAGCCCACAGGUCGGCCUCGACCAGAGGGAAAAGGAGCAAUCCGCUUUGAGAUGGCCUCGCGUCCGAUUAGCUAGUUGGUGAGGUAACGGCCCACCAAGGCAACGAUCGGUAGCCGGACUGAGAGGUUGAACGGCCACAUUGGGACUGAGACACGGCCCAGACUCCUACAGGAGGCAGCAGUGGGGAAUAUUGCACAAUGGGGGAAACCCUGAUGCAGCGACGCCGCGUGGAGGAAGAAGGUCUUCGGAUUGUAAACUCCUGUUGUUGAGGAAGGUAAUGACGGUACUCAACAAGGAAGUGACGGCUAACUACGUGCCAGCAGCCGCGGUAAAACGUAGGUCACAAGCGUUGUCCGGAAUUACUGGGUGUAAAGGGAGCGCAGGCGGGAAGACAAGUUGGAAGUGAAAUCUAUGGGCUCAACCCAUAAACUGCUUUCAAAACUGUUUUUCUUGAGUAGUGCAGAGGUAGGCGGAAUUCCCGGUGUAGCGGUGGAAUGCGUAGAUAUCGGGAGGAACACCAGUGGCGAAGGCGGCCUACUGGGCACCAACUGACGCUGAGGCUCGAAAGUGUGGGUAGCAAACAGGAGUAGAUACCCUGGUAGUCCAC